rnacentral:rRNA from 1 species
UACAGAGGGUGCGAGCGUUGUCCGGAUCACUGGGCGUAAAGGGCGUGUAGGCGGGAAGGAUAGUCAGAUGUGAAAUCCCUGGGCUCAACCCAGGAACUGCAUUUUGAAACUCCCUUUCUUGAGUGCUGGAGAGGAAAGCGGAAUUCCUGGUGUAGAGGUGAAAUUCGUAGAUAGUCAGGAGGAACACCGGUGGCGAAGGCGGCUUUCUGGACAGUAACUGACGCUGAGACGCGAAAGCGUGGGGAGCAAACAGG